AAAAUUUCAUCAAAAUGAAAUGCUUCCGCACAAGGGUUAUAUUUAUAGAACCACUUGUGUGGGAUGCAAGCUAAAAAUCCCACUUAAGUGUAUGUGACCCAUAUCUUAUGGUAUACCGAAAAUCACUUAAGCGCGUGGUACCUUACCAUAUUUCGUAUUAUGCUUAAGUGCACCGUACCUUACAAUGCUCUACAAUUCACUUAAGUGCACUGUACCUUACGAUGUUCCUUAUUUACUCUAUCUCUCAUUAAUAUGUC
rnacentral:lncRNA from 1 species